rnacentral:rRNA from 1 species
UUGAACGCUGGCGGAAUGCUUUACACAUGCAAGUCGAGCGGCAGCAUGGACUUCGGUCUGAUGGCGAGCGGCGAACGGGUGAGUAACAUAUAGGAACAUACCCAGUAAUGGGGGAUAACGCCGAGAAAUCGGUGCUAAUACCGCAUACGCCCUGAGGGGGAAAGCGGGGGAUCUUCGGACCUCGCGUUAUUGGAUUGGCCUAUAUCUGAUUAGCUAGUUGGUGAGGUAAAGGCUCACCAAGGCGACGAUCAGUAGCUGGUCUGAGAGGAUGAUCAGCCACACUGGAACUGAGACACGGUCCAGACUCCUACGGGAGGCAGCAGUGGGGAAUUUUGGACAAUGGGCGAAAGCCUGAUCCAGCCAUUCCGCGUGAGUGAAGAAGGCCUUCGGGUUGUAAAGCUCUUUCGGCAGGAAAGAAAUCGUUGCUCCUAAUACGAGUAAUGGAUGACGGUACCUGAAGAAGAAGCACCGGCUAACUACGU